rnacentral:lncRNA from 1 species
CGGCUGCAGCAGGCAGGCUGCUGGGCACUGGGAAUGAUGUGGGAGUCAGGGCAUGUCGGUGGCCAUCUACCCCUUGGGAGGGGGUGUGUUCAUCUGGGGAGAUGCAGCGAGAAGGGAGAAGCCUGAGCCCGUGUCUUUAGGAGUGCAGUGCAGAAGGGGAAGGGAGAGGGGGAGGAGGGCUGCGGGUAGGGCCCUCAGCCGUGUCUCUGGCUGGGCAGGAGCCGCGGCUGCUUGGCGACUGUUCGCUCUGGGCAGAGGCCCGCGUGGACAGUUGCCUCCACGUUCUAAGGUGCCAUACUGUAGCAGCAAAGAGUCCCCUGGUAUAACGGCCACCACCACUGAUGGCCCACUGCGUGCCCAGCACUGUGCUCCAGCUUUGUGUGCCCGAUCUCACGGGUCUCUCCGAAUCCCCCCUGGGAUAUUACUCCUCCCAUUUUGCUGAGGUUCGCAGAGGAGGUCUCAGAAGCCAUGUGUUGAAGAUGACAGAGUCUGCAUUUGAAGAACUGUGUGGCCAAGAGCUCCACCCCCACCUGCCAGAACUGGACCUGCCGGGGACUGUCAAUAUGACACGAUAAGAAUAGCAAGAAUAACAUAGGCUGACUUCAGACAAACAUGUCGGGGCUUGAAGCACCGAGACUCCAGUGAGGGGGCCUCCCACAGAGCUUUUGGAUGUCCCUCUAAGCAAGCUUGUCCACGCAGAAGCAGAGAGGCACUGGCUGGACAGGAGUGUUCUCUCACAGCCUUGAAUUGAUGCUCUGCCCCUGGAUCACAGCACCUGUGUGAGUUAAUAAUGUUUACUAAUCCUGUCGUUAUCUGUGCAUAGCACUGUUCUGGUGUAAAUAUUUUUAAAAGAUUUAAAUCUGUAG